GAGUUUGAUCGUGGCUCAGAUUGAACGCUGGCGGAAUGCUUUACACAUGCAAGUCGAACGGCAGCACGGGGGCAACCCUGGUGGCGAGUGGCGAACGGGUGAGUAAUACAUCGGAACGUGCCCAGUCGUGGGGGAUAACGUAGCGAAAGCUACGCUAAUACCGCAUACGAACUCUGGUUGAAAGCGGGGGAUCGCAAGACCUCGCGCGAUUGGAGCGGCCGAUGGCAGAUUAGGUAGUUGGUGGGGUAAAGGCCUACCAAGCCGACGAUCUGUAGCUGGUCUGAGAGGACGACCAGCCACACUGGGACUGAGACACGGCCCAGACUCCUACGGGAGGCAGCAGUGGGGAAUUUUGGACAAUGGGCGCAAGCCUGAUCCAGCCAUUCCGCGUGCAGGAUGAAGGCCUUCGGUUGUAAC
rnacentral:rRNA from 1 species